CCUACGGGAGGCAGCAGUGGGGAAUAUUGCACAAUGGGCGCAAGCCUGAUGCAGCGACGCCGCGUGAGUGAAGAAGGAUUUCUGUAUGUAAAGCUCUAUCAGCAGGGAAGAAAAUGACGAUACCUGAUUAAGAAUCCACGGCUAACUACGUGCCAGCAGCCGCGGUAAUACGGAGGGGGCAAGCGUUAUCCGGAUUUACUGGGUGUAAAGGGAGCGUAGUCGGGAGCGCAAGUCUGAAGUGAAAUGCCGGGGCUUAACCCCGGAACUGCUUUGGAAACUGUGCAGCUAGAGUGCAGGAGAGGUAGGCGGAAUUCCUGGUGUAGCGGUGAAAUGCGUAGAUAUUAGGAGGAACACCAGUGGCGAAGGCGGCUUACUGGACUGUAACUGACGUUGAGGCUCGAAAGCGUGGGGAGCAAACAGUAUUAGAUACCCUUGUAGUC
rnacentral:rRNA from 1 species